GAUGAAGAACGUAGCGAAAUGCGAUAAGUAAUGCGAAUUGCAGAAUUUCCGUGAGUCAUCGAAUCUUUGAACGCAUAUUGCGCCCUCUGGCAUUCCGGAGGGCAUGCCUGUCCGAGCGUCAUUACUAUCUUCAAGCACAGCUUGGUUGUUGAGCCCAAUUGUCCUCUAAUGGACAGGCUUGAAAUGCAGCGGCGAUGCCAUGUUUGGUGCCCGAGUGUAUGGGGCUUUGUCACACACUUUUGUGGCCCAGCUGGCGUUGUCUUUUAAAGUACUUAAUAACUAAGAUUUGACCUCGGAUCAGGUAGGGAUACCCGCUGAACUUAAGCAUAUCAAUAAGCGGAGGA
rnacentral:misc_RNA from 1 species